CCCACAUUCAUAUUCGUACCUGGAAGAAUCUUGUAAUACGUUUUCAGACACCCCUAAAGUGGACCGUACCAUUUCUUAAACUUGAACACCUCCCCCAACAAUGGCUCCCAACUUCAAGUCUCACGUCUCCGUGCGUCGCGCAGACACUGCACAUUAAUAUAACAAUAGCUAACUAUCUAGCUUGCUCCGCUUCAGAGUUUCUGAAUUAUAUUGUGUCAAGUAUCAACAGAUGAACCAUAACGUUACCUAGUUUCUAACUUUAGCCUCAAGUUACACUAGCUACAAGUUAACUAGCUAAUGCUAGCUAGCUGGUUCGGCGGCCUUUCGUUCCAAAUGUUGGCUUGGCAUUUUGUUACUAAAAUAAAAUGUCAUAUUACCUCAUUUGACCAAACCCAUUGGUCAUUUCACUGGUACUCAGUUAUGAGCAGUGAGACAAUAGAUAAUAAGUUGUUAUAAACAUACGAUUUGACAUCAUUAUUAAUUAGGCUUUGUUUUCAAUUCAGGAGUUUUACCUGGAUGGAUAAUUGAACAAUAUCCAAAUCUGUGUGUUGAAGGCUGAGCAAUUGUAUUAGUGGUGGAAAGUAAUUUCCAAAUAAACAUUUACAGUACAGUUUUGAGGUUAGGGUUACUUGUACUUUACUUUAGCUUUUCCAUUUUAUGCUAUUACUACCACUCCACUACAUUUCAGAGGGAAAUAUUAUACCUUCUACUCCUUUACAUUUAUUUUACAGCUUCAGUUAAACAAGAAAGAUACUGUAAGGACUUCUGUUCGCUGAAGCACAAGCCUACACGAAAGGGACCAUGGCACUGUGUCAUUUGUGGCCAAGAGAGAAGAUGGCAAGCCUCAAAAGACAGUCUGCAAAAUCCUAACAGGGAGAAAAGAUUCUUUCUUUGCUCCCCAACAGCUGAGCACAAAACAGUUUGACAUGACUGUAAAACACAAUGAAGCUUGGACAAGCUACAAACUGCACUGAAUCUGAGAACGAGGCCAAACAUGGAUAUUCACUUGAUGACAGACACAAAAGCUACAAUAGUCACUUUGGUCUCAGUUCUUUGAGCUUCUUCAGUUGCUUCACGAUGAAUGCAAUCUCAGCUUUAAGAAAGAGGCCAGAGGAUUGUCAACAAAAAUCAUUCAUGUGAUGUCUUUUGAUACUGCACACUUCCUGGUGACAGUAUACUCAGAACUUUAAAAGUAAGAAAACUGAAGUUGUUUCACAUGGUUACAGCUGAUAUAACACUAGCAGCAGAGCUAUUUUUACUGUUGCUGUGUUUGGGCACUUCACCUGUUCACAUGGGAAUGUAGCUUACUGUGUAAUUCACUACAGCAAAGCACAGCACCAGUGACUCUAGAUCUUUGCGGCAUGAUCAUCACCACCAUCUCCGGUAACUGCAGAUCCACAGGGCAAAGGUUAAGGUGGACUAUAAAGUGUGUUUGGUGUCGUAAUCAGUGUUCCCACAUAUUCUUUAACAUAAAAUUCAAGGACCUUAAAAGCCCAAUUCCCUAAAAUUUGAGGACAGAACACAGCGUUGUUUGAGACACGGAUCAAGGUUAAUUAACUUUUAUAAUGAGAACUCCAACGCUUUACAGAAGCUCACUGACAACAAUUACAAAGAGAGAGAGGCUUGAAUGUGUGAACACUGCUCUUUUGUGCUGUGCUACAGUGAUGGCAGACUAUGUGGUCUCUUGCACACAUUUCUGUUUCUGCACAGAAUAUAUAAAUUCAAGCACUUUCAAUGAACCAUGUCUAUUUGGGUCAAAAUCCGUUAAGGUCUUGAGUUUUUUUUCCAAAUUCACAAACUUUCAAGGAUUUCCAGGACCCGUGGGAACCAUACGUUAUUCUUAGCUUUGUGUGGACGUAGUCAAAGAAAACCCUGCACAAUGCUACUCAAUAUGGCAGCAGCUGUAGCGAUGUGCUGUUAAAUGCUCUAUCUUAGCUGCACAUCUCGGGAGACAUCUAAUUUUCAAAUCUGUCUAACCCUAUUCGAAAGAAACAGCUGCAGAAGAGCGGGUGUGUCUGUCCUCAGAGUUUGUGUGUGUAUGUGUGUGUGUGAGCGGGGCUGAAUGGAGAAAUGAUUCAAGUCAAUUUCUCAAAGUUUUAGCAUAUGAAACUAUAACUAUUUAAACAUAUUUACCAUUACUCUGUAUUUGUACUCUAAAUGUCUAUUCGUAUGCAUUUGUUGCUGAGGAGGAUCCAAUGUAGAAACUGGAAUCAUCUCCUCUCCCCUGAUUUCUUCAUCUCAGCUCGUCUCUUCUCCUCAUUCCUCCUCAUCCCCUCACGUCACCUCUCCCCAUCUCCCGUUUCCCUCCUUACUCAUCCGCAGACAUGGAGGAAUGUUAUUUCCCCAGAAGGAAAUUCAAUAGGGCAUAGCAGACCAGAAACUUAGUCGGGGAGGAGGAGGCUCAGGCAAAGAGGGUAUAGCCAGAACUGAUCCGGCAGGAUGGAGGAGGCAAAACCCCUUAAUCCCUGUGACAUUUUAGCUCAGACCUCUCAUCAAAGCCUGCAAGUUGCUAUACUGCCCAGGAAAAUGGAUGGUUGGAUGUUUGUGAGAGACUGAAGGAGAUGAAGGCUGAGGGACACACAGACGGGCAGAGACAGACAAAGACCGACAAGCAGGUGCUGGAAUAGUCAAAGGAGAGAGGUUUUAAGAAGCUGCGGGUCUUGAAUCAGGUGAAUUGCUGAUUAAAGCUGUGGUAGCCCCGAUAUAGAGGCCAGUCUCUCCUCUCUUACUUGCCUGCAUCACAUCUUCUCUAUUCAAAAUGCAAACACCAUGACACUCUCUGAGAUGCUGCUCUGUGCAUACUGAGUCCCUCACCAGCGAUGCUUUACCCCUCGGUUGUGCUCAGUGGUAUCAUAACUUCCGUGCCACACUUUGACACCCCGUCACAGCCAGCUGGGCAUUCACUCCUCCCCUGUGGGCAUGGUCUGUUAUACCCCAGCAGGCAGCAGCUCCUCUACCUCUAUCAGCCCCCACCUUGAACAGCCUCUGUCCGUAUCAUUCCUCUGCACACCGCCUCCUGGAUCCAGGCAUGAAGAUCCCUGGAGGGUGGGACCUAGGUGCCAAAUGUUUCUACAGGCAUGAAAGAGAGGAGAGACAGAGGGAAAACGGCAAGAGAUAAAUUUGAAACUGAAAAAGCCGUGCGCCUGAAUGCCAACGUGUUGCAGAUAAUAUAAAGCCUUUCUGUUACCCAAUUUACACCUUUUCCUUGUGCUACUCACCAAUAAAUGGAGCCAUAUGCAGUGUGUGAAGCUUUUUGUCUACCUUUAAUGUGAGUUAAAAGUGUGCAGGUCCCUUGCUGUGCUUUGGAUGCUUGCCUGCCCUUGGAUGAAACACAAACAGGAGCACACAGACAGAACAUCAGGUACACUAACUGUGUAGAAAAAGAGAGCUGUAUUUGUCUUGAGUUUGACAAAAACAGGUCAGAUGAUCAAACAUAAAGAACAAUAGAACCAGGACCUCAAAAGGCCCGAUAUAACGUCUUCCAUCCAAGAGAGAAGGAAAAAAAAAAAAAAUAGAAACAGUACAUGAAACUGUUUGAUUACACACUUUGGAUGACUUUCAGACCCAGUGUGUGUGUGAUGAAAUACCGUCAGUUUUCCCUGCAACAGCCUAAGCAAGGUGAAUCCUAUGAAGUUUUUGUUUCAGUGUAAAUUAUGUUUGGCUGAGGUCAUUCGCUAAGUACUCAUUUCAA